CUUCUAGCUUCAACCACAUGUUCACCUGCGAUUGUUGCAAUCAAAUGCGUCCCAGCGCAACACAGGACACGCAAAUAGUUCCCACCAAAUACAAAACAAAAACAAACCAACAUUCAAUAAACGAGUUGUACAAAUAAUAUAUUCAACCAAACUUACUACAAAUGACAUAAAUAACAUUCAUGGCAGUUACAAGUACUGUUCACGUUCUUAAAGGACUCAGGGGUUUAUUAUAGGGUAUAAUUGAAAUGUAGGGAUGAGGGUUAAUUUUGUUUUAUUUAUUUAUUUAAUUUUGGGGGGGAGGGUGUUUGUUUUGUUGGUUUGGGGGGUAAGGCGUCAACUGACGGAAUAGUACUCCAGAGGGUGGCGGUAAUGCACCAAUUAUAUGGAUGCCAACCGCCGUUAAAAAAGAAGAAGAAGAAGGAGACGGAGACGGAACUCGGCGCGAGUCGCAGUGACUCUAUGGAGACUAAACGGUGUGUCAUCGCCCACAAUGUCCACGUGACCCUGUCCGAGUGACUGUGUUGUUCCGCUUCAUUGGAAACCUUCGGAUUGUCUGCUCGUGUCCUACGGAGCUCAUGACGUCAGCGUGCCAGCAGGAGAUACACGGACCCGAGCGAGUGAAGCGUUUUUAACGGAGUUGUCUGGAGAAAACGUCUAAAGCCCAAAUGCUGAGCGGUUUAGUCAACCAUCGACUAACUGCGGCUGCGCAGGAGAUAUGUGGGCUGUUUGAAAGAACGAUCGCAGAGUACGAGGAGGAACUUUGUAGUUUAAAAGAGGAGAACGAGCGACACCGGAAACUACUGGACGCUGUGUUCAAACCGGAAGUCCGGUUACAACGAGCAGGUUGGUUCUCUUUGUUUAUCACUUUAAUCUGAUGGAACCAGUUCUGGAGGAAGUAUUCACAUCAUGUACUGAGGUAGAGUUACAGGUACUGCAGUAUUCAAACACGGUCAUGCUUUUUACUACGAUACAUCUCACAGGUACAUAUUGUAUUGUUACUGUAGGCUACUACAUCACAGAGGUACUUAUUGUAUUGUUACUGUACUACAGCUUAGUACAAUCACUCAACAAAAUCAAGACUGUUUGUGGUUCUGGCUUCUCAGUUAUGGUAUUACUGAUGGUAUUUGUUGUUGCUGGAUUUCUUCCUUCUGGAUAGAUUCUGACUAAUCUUAACCUGAUGUAUAUAAACUUGUAUCUGUCUUCUAUCUGAUACUCACACACUGGACCUCAGUAAUCAAACACCCACAGGACACGGAGAGUUUGGAUCAGAGUUCACUUCUCAUAGAUUUAUUUGUAACCAACAGUUUCACAAAUAAACCUGAGUUGGGUCCGGUAUUAAAGACAACAACCUCCCUCCACAUCUGUCUUUCCCAACUCCCGGACAAACACAUUGACAUAUUGUCUAUAACAGCGAUUCCCAAACUGUGGGUGGGCCGCGGGAGGUCAUUUACAAUUAAUAAAUAAAAUGUUUUUAAUUUUCAAUUUUGAAAAGUUUGAAAUUAAUAUAAAAAUAUUUAUGAUUUAAA